rnacentral:lncRNA from 1 species
GUGGUUCGUCCCAGACAUAGACAUACCCCUUUGAAGUAGAGAAACCAUAGUUAUACUCUCUAUUCUGCUACCAUCGCCCAUAUACUAGAAUUGCUCUAUUCUCUAUUCCCAUAUUAUCACUCACUGUUAUCUUACCUUUAAUAUUGUUCUUAUUCAAUUCUACCAUCUUUCCUAUUUACACUUAUCUAUCUAUCUUGGUUAAGUUAGAGCGU